rnacentral:rRNA from 1 species
CGAAGCUCUUGAUCGGAGGAUUCGUCCAAAGUGAUGAGAAGACUAGUGGCGGACGGGUGAGUAACGCGUGGGUAACCUGCCAUAUACAGGGGGAUAACAGUUAGAAAUGACUGCUAAUACCGCAUAAGCGCACAGUAAGGCAUCUUACAGUGUGAAAAGCCGAGACGGUAUAUGAUGGACCCGCGUCUGAUUAGCUAGUUGGUGAGGUAACGGCUCACCCAAGGCGACGAUCAGUAGCCGGCCUGAGAGGGUGAACGGCCACAUUGGGACUGAGACACGGCCCAAACUCCUACGGGAGGCAGCAGUGGGGAAUAUUGCACAAUGGGGGGAAACCCUGAAUGCAGCGACGCCGCGUGAGUGAAGAAGUAAUUCGUUACGUAAAGCUCUAUCAGCAGGGAAGAAAAUGACGGUACCUGACUAAGAAGCCCCGGCUAACUACGUGCCAGCCGCCGC